rnacentral:misc_RNA from 1 species
UACGAAGGGGGCUAGCGUUGUUCGGAAUUACUGGGCGUAAAGCGCACGUAGGCGGCUUUCCAAGUUGGAGGUGAAAUCCCUGGGCUUAACCUAGGAACUGCCUCCAAGACUGGAAGGCUCGAGUCCGAGAGAGGUGAGUGGAAUUUCCAGUGUAGAGGUGAAAUUCGUAGAUAUUGGAAAGAACACCAGUGGCGAAGGCGGCUCACUGGCUCGGUACUGACGCUGAGGUGCGACAGCGUGGGGAGCAAACAGG